UUCUUUUUUUCUUUUUUUUUUUUUCAACGUUUAUUUAUUUUUAGGACAGAGAGAGACAGAGCAUGAACGGGGGAGGGGCAGAGAGAGAGGGAGACACAGAAUCGGAAACAGGCUCCAGGCUCUGAGCCAUCAGCCCAGAGCCUGACGCGGGGCUCGAACUCACGGACCGCGAGAUCGUGACCUGGCUGAAGUCGGACGCUUAACCGACUGCGCCACCCAGGCGCCCCUCCAUCUUUUCUUUUACUGUGAUGCAUGCUGGGUGAUUUCCUCAGAGCUGCCCCUCUCACACAUUCUCCCCCCACAGGCAUUUAACUCACUUUUAAACCUAUUGCAUUUUGAAUUUCUGUGACUUACAUCUUUAAAUAUUUUAUUUCAUUUCCUUUUUGUUAGCUAAUAUUUCAAAGUUUCUUGUUCUUACAGGACUUCUAAUUUCUUUUUUUUUUUAAAUUUUUUAAAUGUUUAUCCAUUUUUGAGAGAGAGACAGACAGACAGACAGAACAUGAGUAGGGGAGGGGCAGAGAGAGAGGAAGACACAGCAUCUGAUGCAGGCUCCAGGCUCUGAGCUGUUAGCAGAGGUUGACGUGGGGCUCAAACCCACAAAUCAUGAGAUCAUGACCUGAGCCGAAGUCGGACGCUUAACUGACUGAGCCACCCGGGUGCCCCUCUAAUUUCUUUAAUCAUUUAAAACAGUCUCUCUUUAAGCUGGAAAAGGAAUAGCAAAUAAAACCCUAAACGAGCAGAUGAUGGAAAAUAAAGAUUGGAGCAGAAACCAGUGCUAUUGAAACAAACAAACAAAAGAACAGAACAGAUAAAUAAAACCAGGAGCUGGUUCUCUGAAAGAAUUAAAAAAAAAUUGAUAAACCCCUAGCCAGUUUGAUCAAAAAGAAAAAGGAAAGGACCCAAAUAAAUGAAAUCAAGAAUGAAAGAGGAGAGAUCACAACCAACACUGUAGAAAUACCAACAAUGAUAAGAGAAUAUUAUGAGCAAUUAUACUCCAAUAAAUUGGGCAAUCUGGAAGAAAUGGACAAAUUCCUAAAGACAUAUAAACUAUCAAAACUGAAACUUAAGAAAUGGAAAAUUUGAACAGACCCAUAACCAGUAAAGAAGUCGAAUUAGCAAUCAAAAAUCUCCCCCAAACAAGAGUCCAGGGCCAGAUGGCUUUCCAGGGGAAUUCUACCAAACAUUUAAAGAAGAGUUAACACCGAUUCUUUUGAAGCUGUUCCAAAAAAUAGAAAUGGAAGGAAAAAUUCCAAAUUCUUUCUAUGAAGCCAGCAUUACCUUGAUUCCAAAACCAGACAAAGGCCCACUAAAAAGGAGAACUACAGACCAGUUUCUCUGAUGAACAUGGAUGCAACAAUCCUCAACAAGAUAAUAGCAAACCAGAUCCAACAAUACAUUAAAAGAAUUAUUCACCACAACCAAGUGGGAUUUAUACCUGGGAUGCAGGGCUGGUUCAAUAUCUGCAAAACAAUCAUGUGAUACAUCACAUCAAUAAAAGAAAGGACAAGAAUCACAUGAUCCUCUCAAUAGAUGCAGAGAAAGCAUUUGACAAAAUACAGCUUCCUUUCUUGAUAAAAACCAUCAGGAAAGUAGGGAUAGAAGAAUCAUAUCUCAAGAUCAUAAAAGCCAUAUAUGAAAGACCCACCACUAAUAUCAUCCUCAAUGGGGAAAAACCAAGAGCUUUCCCCCUAAGGUCAGGAACCAGACAGGGAUGUUCACUCUCACCACUGUUAUUCAAUAUAGUAUUGGAAGUCUUAGCCUCAGCAAUAAGACAACACAAAGGAGCAAAAAGCAUCCAAAUCAGCAAGGAGGAGGUCAAACUUUCACUCUUCGCAGAUGACAUAAUACUCUAUAUGGAAAACCCAAAAGAUUCCACCAAAAACUGCUAGAACUGAUCCAUGAAUUCUGCAAAGUCGCAGGAUAUAAAAUCAAUGUGCAGAAAUUGGAUGCAUUCCUAUAUACCCAACAAUGAAGUGACAGAAAGAGAAAUCAAGGGAUUGAUCCCAUUUACAAUUGUAUACCAAAAACCAUAAAAUACCUAGGAAUAAACCUAACCAAAGAAGUGAAAAAUCUAUACACUGAAAACUAUACAAAGCUUAUGAAAGAAAUUGAUGACAACACACAAAAAAGGAAAAAUAUUUCAUGCUCAUGGAUUGGAAGAACUAAUAUUGUUAAAAUGUCAAUACUACCCAAAGCAAUCUAUAUAUUCAAUUCAAUUCCUAUCAAAAUAACACCAGCAUUCUUCACAGAGCUAGAACAAAUAAUCCUAAAAUUUGUAUGGAACCAGAAAAGACCCUGAAUAGCCAAAGCAAUCUUGAAAAAGAAAACCAAAGCUGAAGGCAUCACAAUCCUGACUUCAAGAUGUAUUACAAACCUGUAAUCAUCAAGACAGUAUGGUACUGGCACGAAAACAGGCAUUGAGAUCACUGGAACAGAAUAGAGAACCCAGAAAUGGACCCACAAACAUAUGGCCAACUAAUUUUUAACAAAGCAGGAAAGAAUAUCCAGUGGAAUAAAGACAGUCUCUUCAACAAAUGGUGCUGGGAAAAGUGGACAGCAACAUGCAGAAGAAUGAACCUGGACCACUUUCUUACACCAUACACAAAAAUAAACUCAAAAUAGAUGAAACACCUAAAUGUAAGAUAGGAAGCCAUCAAAAUCCUAGAGGAGAAAUAAAGCAACAACCUCUCUGACCUCUGCUGCAGCAACUUCUUACCAACAUGUCUCCAGAGGCAAGGGAAACAAAAGGAAAAACGAACUAUUGGGACUUACUUCAUCAAGAUAAAAAGCUUCUGCACAGUGAAGGAAACAGUCAUCAAAACUAAAAGGCAACCGACGGAAUGAAUGGGAGAAGAUCUUUGCAAAUGACAUAUCAGAUAUAGAGUUAUUAUCCAAAAUCUAUAAAGAACUUAUCAAACUCAACACCCAAAAAACAAAUAACUGGUGAAUAAGUGGGCAAAAGACAUGAACAGACACUUUUCCAAAGAAGACAUCCAGAUGUCAUCAUCAGGGAAAUACAAAUCAAAACCACAAUGAGAUACCAACUCACACCAGUCAGAAUGGCUAACGUUAACAACUCAGGCAAGAAGAGAUGUUGGCAAGGAUGUGGAGAAAGAGGAUCUCUUUUGCACUGUUGGUGAGAAUGCAAACUGGUGUGGCCAUUCUGGAGAACAGUAUGGAGGUUCCUCAAAAAAUUAAAAAUAGAACUACCCUACAACGCAGUAAUUGCACCACUAGGUAUUUAUCCAAGGGAUACAGGUAUGCUGUUUCAAAGGGAGACAUGCACCCCAGUACUAUUGGAAAUAGCCAAAGCAUAGAAAGAGUCCAAAUUUCCGUUGGCAGAUGAAUGGAUAAAGAAGAUGUGGUAUGUAUGUACAAUGGAGUAUUACUUGGCAAUCAAAAAGAAUGAAAUCUUGCUAUUUGCAACGAUGUGGAUGGAACUAGAGUAUAUUAUGCUAAGCGAAGUUAGUCAAAGAAAGCCAAAUAUAUUACUUCACUCAUAUGAAGAAUUUAAGAUACAAAACAGAUGGACAUAAGGGAAAGGAAGCAAAAAUAAUAUAAAAACAAGGAAGGGGGACAAACAUGAGACUCUUAAAUACAGAGAGCAAACUGAGAGUUGCUGGAGGGGUUGUGUGUGGGGAGAUGGGCUAAAUGGGUAAGGAACAUUAGGGAAAACACUUGUUGGGAUGAGCACUGGGUGUUAUACCUGGGGGAUGAAUCACUGGAAUCUACUCCUGAAAUCAUUAUUGCACUAUAUGCUAACUAACUUGGAUGUAAAUUUAAAAAAAGAAAGAAAAAGAAAGAAAAUAGUCUCUCUUUAGAAACCUUUUCAUGUUGUCCUCACUCAAAAUUGGUGGGGGAGGGGAGGCUAAUCCUCUUGUUUGAUAUCCCUGCUAAUUUUUACUCAUUGUGUCUCAUUUCCCUGUGUAUUUUGGAAUUUUUAAAUUGACACCUUCUACAAAGCAGGGAUUUCAUUUGUUUGUUUUGAAUGUAGGAAUCUUUGGGCUGGGAAAUUAUUCCUAAGGACUGGUUUUGCCUUUGUUUUCUCUAGCAUGCCUGAGGUCUCACCCAGUCAUGACCAAUUCUCAUGUUCAUUUUUCGGUUUAGGAAUUUCCACGUUUCCCUGACUGUGUACAUUGGGACUGCAAGCCCAUGCGUGAUGUAAGCUUAGGUUUUCACUUUGCCUUGGGAGACUCCUCUGUCUUCCCCUGACUUCAGAGCUCCGUGCAUGUUACCAGCUACUCUGACCUCUUUUAUGCUGCUGGGCGGGAUUUUAUUUGUUCCCCUUUGACUGUAGCGCCCCCGCCACUGCAAAUCCCAGCUUUGUGCAGUGGUUUUAGUUCCAGCUUUCUGGCUUGAGUGGGCACAAUAAGUUUUCUACUGUCUCUUUGUGGGAUGUUAAAGCAUAGGGGUAAUUAUCUCUGGUAAGCAAUAGAAAUGUACCAAAUACAGGUAGGAAUCUUUUUAAAUAUUAAAUCACUGGUGAAAUGAAAUGUACACUCUAAUGAGGGGACAGUCCCACAGGAAGGUCACCCAUAGAGUUGUGGGCACAUGUCUUCAUCCUAGGAUGCGUCCUUGGAGGAGGAAGAGGGAUGUGUGGGUGGGAUCGUGGGGAGACCAUCUAUAGCUGCACUUUACAAUAUGUAACCACCAGGCAGAUGUGGCCGGUGUCAGCUGAGAUGUGCUUCAAAAUUAAAAGAUUUCAAAGACUUAGUGUGAGAAAGAAUGUAAAUAUGGAAAUAAUGUAAGAAUAAUAUAAAACAUUUCAGUACAUUUUUAUAUGGAUUAUGUGUUGAAAUAAUGUUUUCAUGUAUUGGGGUAAAGAAAACAUCAUUUAACUAAGUUAGCCUCCUUUCACAUUUUAAAAAUGUGGCUACUAGAAGAUUUCUAAUUUAAUCUGUGACUCAGAUGAUAUUUUCAAGAGCCUUACUAGUCAAAGUGAAGUCCUUGGGCCAACAGCAUCAGCAUCACCUGGGAGCUUGUUAGAAGUGCAGGACCUCAGGCCUCAGAACCUGUAUUUUAACAAGAUCUCUGUGAUUUGUGUGCAUGUUAGAGAUCAGUGGUUCUGAAACUUGAGUGGGUAUCACUAUGUCCUAGAGGGCUCCUUAAAUCAGAGUGCUGGGCCCCACCACCAGAGUUCCUGAUUCGGUAGGUUUAGGCUGGGCCCAGAAUCUGCAUUUCUAAUAAGAUCCUAGGUUGUGCUGAGGCUUCUGCCUGAGGACCUCACUUUGAGAGCCACCUAUUCUAUAUAUAUUCUGGAAGAUAAUAGCCAGAUAUAUCCCUGGAACUUAGGUUAGAGCAAAGUUCUGGGGAUUAGUUGUUCCAAGAGUGGGAUAUUGUCUUCUUUCCUCUCCUUCAUACCAGGCCCUCCCUCUGAGAGCCAUCCCCAAAUCCCUACUCUUUCAAAUGGAUUGGAGCAAAAAAAUACUUUGAAGGUGGGUAUAAAAGUUACAGGAAUGUGAAAAAGUUUUUCCUUCUCUCAGAGAUGGGAAAGAGCUUCCGAGCCUCCAUUCACCACCAUUCACCACCACCAUUCACCACUAUUCACCAGCCAUCAUACCCCUCUACUCACCAUCCCCCUCUACUCACCAUCCCCCAUCCACUUUCACUCACUGUCCACCUCCACUCACCACCCACCAUUCACCAUCCACCUACACUUACCAUCCACCUCCAUCCAUCAUCCACUACCCACCUCCAUUCACCAUUCGCCAUCCACUAUCUGUCUCCAUCCAACAUCCACUAUCCAUCUUCACUCUCCGCCACCACUCACCUCCAUUCACUUCCACUUACAAUCCGUCAUCCACUUCCACUCACCAUUCUCCAUUCAUCAUUAAUGUCCCUUCACUGUCAGUCCUUACAGCCUGUAUGUAGGUUUUCUUCUCAACAUAAGGAUGAAGAAGCUGAGGCUACAGGAGGUGAGCAACUCACUCAGUGUUGGGGCAGAGUGGGUGUGUUUCUUUCCCUCUUUUUAGAGCCUUCUUUCAGCAGCACCAUUGAACAUGGGUGCAGCAACUUCUCCCCAUGCUGUCACUUCCAGUGCCUUGUUCAGUGAUGAUGGAGAGGUUGCUGUUCCAAAGACAGAGCUGAAUCCUGGGUAUACAACACACCCAGGCACUUGGGUCAUCAAACACUUUGAGAUCAUAAAGAUGACUGGAAGUCUGCAUUCUUGGCUUUCAAAGGUGGUUACUCAUGCCCAGAGAAGUUAAGAAACAUUCUUCAAAGCAAUAUAACAACUUAGAAAAUGAACCAGAGACAUCCAGUUAGAAAGUGUGGUUGAGGUCACAGCGCUCUCGCCUCCUUCCUGAAGCCAUGGUGUAGACCCACAAGGGCAUGAGAACAGAAGAGGAAAGAGUAGAUGAGAAAUACCAAAAAUAUUUUCUUCUUCUUUUUUAAUGUUUAUUUAUUUUUGAGGGAGACAGAGCACAAGCAGGGGAGGGGCCGACACGCACACACACACACACACACACACACACACACACACACAGAAUCUGAAGCAGGCUCCAGGUUCUGAGCUGUCAGCACAAAGCCCAGUGCAGGGCUUGACCUGCACUUGACUGAGAUCACGAUCUGAGCUGAAGUUGGAUGCUUAACCAACUAAGCCACCCAGGCACCCCCAAAACUGUUUUUAAAAGGCGACACAGAUGAGGGAGGGUAAGUAAUUUGGCAGAAUAAAGUUGAAGGGGGAGGAAGACAGUAUGCUGAGGAUGGCCAGAAAGGCUCAGAAUUAGAAACACAAGGGCCUGCUGGAGACUGAAUGCAGAGGAAUCUCCUCCAAAUCAGGAAAUGCCAGAUCCCUUCUGCUACCCAAGCAGUGCAGGAACGUUGACCUUCUGCAGAAAUGAACUGGAGGACCUGUGGGCUUUGGGCAUCAAGCAUAGCAGAGACUGGGGGUACAGAGAUGUCGGCAAGAUAGAAAUCAGGUGGACGUCUGUGGAACUGGCGAGAGCCAAGCCACUUUCUCCAACCUGGGCCCAGAGUCCCAGUGGCCAGAAUUCAUCCCCUAGACAAGAAAUUGGCAGAAUCCUCUGGAAAAGCUGAAUGACCAAGAUAAAUGACCUCACUCUUCAUGUCCUUCAGGAUGGAGGGGCUGCAAAUAGUGGGGGCCCCUCCUGGAAGACCAUCACCCAGCCAGCUCUGUCCUUGCACAUGGAGCUUCCACUUUUGAUACCUCUUUCUGCUGCAGUAAGAACAGGCAAGUAAAGAUCCAACAUUUGAGGACAGCGUGUAUACCUGUGUACUCCCACCCCGAUGAAGGCAUACAAUGCUUUUGUUUAAUUACCAGCUUUAGAGUCGCAUUUGACUUUUAAAACAUAUACAUAUCUUGCUUUGUUAAAAAAGAAAAGUUAAAGAAAGACAAAAGAGCCCCAUUGCUCUGAGGGGUUCUUUCAUCUCCAACCACACAUGGACUCCCUCGAGUGAGUGGUCCCGAUACAGCUUCAGCAUCCAUGUCAUACACCCAUGGGACCCCGUCAAAGUGAGCUGGGUGUGCAUGGAGGAUGGAGAAGGGAUGUGGUGUCUGCAGCCCCACCUCCUGCGACACCCAGGCUGGGUCUCAUGACCUUGUCUGGGCUAGUGGUGAAGGCUGUGGGGGAAACCCAGGGCCCAGGAGCUUGUUGAUUUGGUUAUAUAAAUGAGGGCUGACUGUGCAUGGAGAAGCCAAGAGAACCCCCAAGACUGAACUGAAGGUAUCCCUAUGGUCGCUUGGUUUUCUCAUCAACAGACCCCUUCUGCCUGCAGUGAGUAGGGCCUCGCUGGGCUCUCUGGGAGAGCUGAGAGGCUGAGUGUGUUUCCCUUCCUCAGGAGCUUGAAGUGAGGUAGUCGGAUGAGGGAUAAGAUGGAGAGGAAGGGGCCCAGGCUGAUUUCUGGUGUCCCUGUUGUACAGCACACUAUGGCUGGGUGAGGGGGAUCAGGGAGGGUUUCCUUACAGAAGAGUGUGGUCUAGAAACAGCUGUGAGAGAAGCAAGCCAAUAGGGCAGUUAUCACAGUGUGAGCAGGGCCUUUUGUCGGGGGGGGGGGGGUGUCGCCCACCAGUGAUAGGCGGGGAGGCUGCUUGCUUCUCUGUACCGGUCUCAGUUGAGCUGGAGGGAGUGUGUCUGGAAGUGGACAACCAGCCUCGGCCUGUCCAAAUACAUUUCCCUGGGGCUCUCAGGUUGCUCACAGAUUGUCGGCCCAGAGGCAGGUGGGUUCCCACUGGUUUCUGGUGGGAAACCAUUUCUGAGGGAAUGCUCUCGCUCUUGGGUUGACUAGGGAGGCCUGUGGGGAGAUAAGCCAUGGACGGUUUUCUACUGAAGGAGACAGGAUAGGUAGGCAUCUUCAGCAGGAAUCCAGGAGGUGCAGGGUGGGUGCUCUGUGUUUCUGGGGUCAAUUUAGCAAGUCCCCAAAUGCACCUUUCCUUCCUUAUCAACCCCCCCACUUCCUCUCUUUCAUUUGGUCAUGUUUAUUGAGUGUUGACUGUAUGUACCAUUUUUUUAAAAAAGUUUAUUUAUUUAUUUUGAAAGAGUGAGUGGGGGAAGGGAAGAGAGAGAGAGGCAGAGAGAGUAGAUCUCAAGCAGGCUCCGCAUCACCAGCGCAGACCUUGAUGUGGGGCUCCAACUCAAGAAACCAUGAGAUCAUGAUCUGAGCUGAAACCAAGGGUCCGGUGCUUAGGCGACUGAGUCAUCCAGGUGCCCCAACUGUAUGUGCCAUUAAUCCAUCCUCAGAGGAAAAGAGGGUAAAUACUGUUCUCAGAGACCCUAAUCCUAGGGGAGACAGGCUCUCAAUGAACCAUCAAGAGGCAGGCUGUACCAAUGCCCUGGUGAGAGUCUCAAGAGAAAGGCGGCAGAUGGAUUGCAACACGGAUUCCGAGGGAGCUGGUGUGGGAGACGCCAUUGUACUCAUUCAUUCUACAGUCCUCUUUCAGGCAGCAUCCCUGGACAAGUUCCCGCCAUCUGGGCUGGCCCUGAGAUAUGCAUAGAUGCUACUAGGCAGAAAAGGGAAGGUAUUCUAGGAAGGGGACAGGGAAAACUGUGCAGGAACAUGAGUGGGGUGGUGGGUUGGAAGUAAUUGUAGAAGGCCUGGAAUGAGAACAGACUGGACUUUAUUCCAUAGGUAACAAGGAGACCUAUGCUCGCUGGAGGAACUCUGGAAGUUAUAUAAAGUAUAAAGAAGAACCAGUAAGAAUAUCCAUAAUCAUACUUCUCAUGGGCAACUUUAACAACUUCUAGAUGUAUUCAUGUCCAAUCUUUUUCUCUCUCGUGACUCUUCUUUUAUAGCAGAUUAUAUUUUACAAAUAUGUUUUUCAUUUGAUGUUUUCACUAAAUUAUUUUCCCAUGUUGAAAAUUCUUUUGGUCACAUAAUAGUGUAUCAUGUAGAUGUGUCAUAGUUAACAUCAGUUUCCCAUUUUCUCCUGUUACAGAUAAUACUGAUGGACGUUUCCAGGCACGAAGGCUUUAUCUCCCCUCUCACUCUGGAUUUGUUUCUUGGAAGGAUUCCCAGGGGAGGGAAACUGAGGCACGAGAAGGCCAGAGGCAGAGUUUGAAUCCAGGUGGUGUGGCUGCAGGGCCAUCCUGUUUAACUCCUACCCAUUUGGACCCCAGCACGUGGAUAAAACGCAUGGACCAUGCCUGACGCUUGAUUGGUGUUGCUCACAGCCACCCGGCAGGGAAGAAGUGGACUUGCACCUGAGAGGCAACAAGAGUGCUUGGUCACAGGGCAAAGUGUGGCACAGAGCUGGUGUUUAGGACUUGUCUACUACUUAAUGAAGACAUGGGAUGAAGAGGAGAAAGACAUGGGGCCUACACAUGUCUGGGGUGCCAGUAGCAGUCCCUUACCCCAACAGGUUGUGACAACCAGAAGCAUCUCCAGAGGUUUCCAAAUGUUCCCUGGGGAUAAAAUUUCCCCAGUUGAGAACCACAGGUCUAGAAGGAUGCUGGGAGCUCUCAAAGGUAAGAGGGGAGCAGGUGCUGUGGAAAAAGUGCUCAGUCUUCCUCAGACGCCCUGGGCUCGAUCUCUCCCCACUCUUCAAUCACCCCCUCCCCUGCCCCCCAACGCAGCCCUACCUGCUGGGCCUGCUGGAGACAGGACACAGUUCCUGAGCCGAAGAGCUGGGUUUUGCCCACCAGUCUGCUGUGAUGGGGUUGGGGGCUACUGGCGGUGCCUUGCCCUGCCCCAGCUCAGUCUCUUCACAGUUCUGUGGUUUUACCCUCUUGUCCCACCUUCUGUGAGUCUGGGGCCUGCAGGGCAGCUUGCUGUCAGAGGCCGUGGCCCAUGGGUCCCCCAGCUCUCAACCACCAGCAUCCCCUAGUCUGCACCCCAGACAGAAGCUUCAUUAUCCUGCAUAGGCAGGAGUCUAUGGGAACACUGGCCGUCUGCAGGGAAAACAGGCACAGAUUCCUUCACAGACCUCCAGAGCCUGCUGCUAUUUGAUCCCAUAGGUGUCCUGACAGCAGGACACCUCUGGGUAUGUCUAGGCCCCUCUGGCCUGGUCCACAUUAUUGACUGGUUAGAUGACAGCAUGCACAAUACCCACUGUCUUCAGAUAAUCCCCUGACCACAGUUAGGGGCCAGACUUGCCUCUGUGCCCUUUCAAGUUUUUGUGUGCCCAGGACCAGCAUCUGGCUGCACCUGGAAAUGCUGUGGGGGUGGGGGUGGGACCUCCCUUCCUCCCACGACUCCAGCUCCAGGGCCAGGUAUGGCUCUGUAGAGCCCAGUGUCAACUGCAGCCUUGGCUAUUUCCAAGGCUCCCCCACCUUCUCUGCAGCUGACGCCCCCCAGAUCUCACCCUCAAACUCUGCUUUGCUGGUGGGCAAGAGCUGAAAGGAGGCCCCACUCUUCCAUUCGCCGACUGGCCGCAGGGUAUUGAGAAGUCUUUCUGGGAGCCAUCAGGCAGGGUGCCAUCAUGUGGGGUGAAGACAAGCCAUCAUGCGGGGUGCUCUCCAGGGUUCCACUGGGUCCUUUGCCUGGAUAUUUUCUUUCCCCCGAAUUCUCUCACUGUUGCCCAGAGAUGUUUUUUCCCCAGUCUCCUCCAAAGGAGAAACAAAGAUUCAAAGGAGGCAGGAGCCUGAAUGUGGAAGUAGAAUAGAGUGUUUCUACUUCCUAAAGCUGGAAAAGCCCGAGUGGGGAGCACAGGGUAGAGGAGGGACAGGGUCCUCCUGGGGGUUGGAGAGGAGGAGGUCGUUCUUCUUGGGCAGCCAGGGAACCAGCCCCUGAGUGAGGAGGGAGGUGCUGCCUCCCACCGACUCCACACACAGGGGUUGGGCCAUGGAGGGACCACUUCUGCCCUCACCAAGGCCAAAGCACAGAGUCACUGGGAUUGUCCUGUGAACGGACACACCGCCACUGGUGCGUGAUAAACCAAGAAAAACGUUGGCCACGUGGAGGCCAAACAGAAGAGUAAAAUCUUAUGGCAUCCAGAGCUCUUACAAAGCAUUAGUACUCCAGUAGAAAUUUUGAAACUUCCAACAGAAAAACAGGCAUGGAAUGAGAAGCCCCGCCCCCCCAAAAAAGAGCCCCCAAAGAAAUAUAAUACAAUAUAAGCAAUAUAAGUGUGGCAAACUGUUUAACACCAUAUAAUGAUUUAAAGAGAGAGAGAGAAGAGAACAUAGAAAAAGAUGUCUUUUAUGUGUGGCUUGUCAGACUGUCAAAUUGUUUUAAAAGUUUCCCGCUGCCUCAGUGAGCAUGUGGGAAGACGUACAGGUACCCGGCCCACCGGGAUCUUCCGCUGUCCCCCUGGUCCCCGGGCUCCUGACUGUUCUCCAUGAGGGUGGACAUCCUGCAGGGGUGGCAGGCUCAGAGCCAAAGGCAAAGAGGGAUGAAUAAGUGAUGGGUUUCUGGGCACAGGGAGGCAGCCGGGAUUACAGUAAAUGAAAUCGGAACAGCAAGGCCUUCACUCACCAGCAGCUGUGUACCGGCGCCUUCUCUAAAUGAUCUCCUUUUGUGCACCCAAGCCGUAGCUUCAUUAUGGCCCAUUAAACAGCAAUAAUUAAAACAAAAUAUAUUGGAUUUGUUUAUCCUGGACUUCAUAAGGAUAUGAGGUUUGCAAUGGUGGCAGGGCAGAGCUAGGACUAUAGGGCUUAUAAUUAGCAAGAUAAUUAAGGAGAAGUUCUCAGCAGCAAGAAGGUACAUUUCUCAGGCAUCAAACUCUCUUGGUGGUGGAGAGUCCUGGCCUGGAGAGUCCUGGUGGUGGCCAAGGGGACCUGGGGCUGCUGGAAGCUGGUCCAGCCCGGGGGAGAACUGGGGUCUCUUCAGUCAGCAAAAUGCUGUGCACCAGCCAGGUGCUGUUCUAGACUCCGGAUGUACCAUUAAGCUUGCAUGCCAGCAGGGAGAUGACACUAAACACGUGCCAUUAAAACUUGUGA